AAGCGUUAUCCGGAAUUAUUGGGCGUAAAGCGUCCGCAGGUGGCUGUUCAAGUCUGCUGUCAAAGCGCAGAGCUUAACUCUGUACAGGCGGUGGAAACUGAAGAGCUAGAGUAUGGUAGGGGUAGAGGGAAUUCCCGGUGUAGCGGUGAAAUGCGUAGAUAUCGGAAGGAACAUCAGUGGCGAAAGCGGCUUCCUGGACCAGUACCGACGUUCAGGCACGAAAGCGUGGGGAGCAAACAGG
rnacentral:rRNA from 1 species